AGUAAGGUCAGCUAACUAAGCUCCUGGGCCCAUACCCCAAAAAUGUGAGUUAAAACCUCGCCCGUACUA
rnacentral:tRNA from 1 species